rnacentral:tRNA from 1 species
GGGCCAAUCGUAUAGUGGCUUAUUAUGCUGUCUUAGGGCAAUCACCUCCAUUCAGAGGAUGCACUCUAAGUUGACAGAGGUCCCCGGUUCGAUUCCGGGUUGGCCCC